rnacentral:rRNA from 1 species
AUUGAACGCUGGCGGCAGGCCUAACACAUGCAAGUCGAGCGGAUGAAGGGAGCUUGCUCCUGGAUUCAGCGGCGGACGGGUGAGUAAUGCCUAGGAAUCUGCCUGGUAGUGGGGGAUAACGUCCGGAAACGGGCGCUAAUACCGCAUACGUCCUGAGGGAGAAAGUGGGGGAUCUUCGGACCUCACGCUAUCAGAUGAGCCUAGGUCGGAUUAGCUAGUUGGUGGGGUAAAGGCCUACCAAGGCGACGAUCCGUAACUGGUCUGAGAGGAUGAUCAGUCACAAUGGAAGUGAGACAACGUCCAGACUUCUAAGGGAAGGCGCAGUGGGGGAUAUUGGGCAAUGGGCGAAAGCCUGAUCCAGCCAUGCCGCGUGUGUGAAGAAGGUCUUCGGAUUGUAAAGCACUUUAAGUUGGGAGGAAGGGCAGUAAGUUAAUACCUUGCUGUUUUGACGUUACCAACAGAAUAAGCACCGGCUAACUUCGUG